CCCUUAGAUGUUCUGGGCCGCACGCGUGCUACACUGAGUGGAUCAGCGGGUCAGGUUGCGCGAAAGUGUUUCCUAAUCUUGAAAUCCGCUCGUGAUGGGGAUUGACGGUUGCAAUUUUCCGUCAUGAACGAGGAAUACCUUGUAAGCGCGGGUCAUCAUCCCGCGCUGAAUACGUCCCUGCCCUUUGUACACACCGCCCGUCGCUCCUACCGAUUGAGUGGUCCGGUGAGGCUUUGGGAUCUGAGCGGAAAGAGCGUUUCGCUGUUUCUGCUCGGAAAACUCAGUCGAACCUUAUCAUUUAGAGGAAGGAGAAGUCGUAGCA
rnacentral:rRNA from 1 species